UACGGGGGGGGCAAGCGUUGUUCGGAAUUACUGGGCGUAAAGGGCGCGUAGGCGGCUUACUAAGUCGGACGUGAAAUCCCUCGGCUCAACCGAGGAACUGCGUCCGAUACUGGCAGGCUGGAAUCCGGGAGAGGGAUGUGGAAUUCCAGGUGUAGCGGUGAAAUGCGUAGAUAUCUGGAGGAACACCGGUGGCGAAGGCGGCAUCCUGGACCGGUAUUGACGCUGAGGCGCGAAAGCCAGGGGAGCAAACGGG
rnacentral:rRNA from 1 species